rnacentral:rRNA from 1 species
AUUGAACGCUGGCGGCAUGCUUUACACAUGCAAGUCGAACGGCAGCACGGACUUCGGUCUGGUGGCGAGUGGCGAACGGGUGAGUAAUACAUCGGAACGUACCAGUAAUGGGGGAUAACUAGCCGAAAGGAUAGCUAAUACCGCAUACGCCCUACGGGGGAAAGAGGGGGAUCGCAAGACCUCUUGUUAUUGGAGCGGCCGAUGGCUGAUUAGCUAGUUGGUAGGGUAAAGGCCUACCAAGGCAACGAUCAGUAGCGGGUCUUAGAGGACGAUCCGCCACACUGGAACUGAGACACGGUCCAGACUCCUACGGGAGGCAGCAGUGGGGAAUCUUGGACAAUGGGCGCAAGCCUGAUCCAGCAAUGCCGCGUGCGUGAAGAAGGCCUUCGGGUUGUAAAGCGCUUUUGUCAGGGAGCAAAUCCUUGUGGCUAAUACCCACCGGGGAUGAGAGUACCUGAAGAAUAAGGACCGGCUAACCACGUGCCAGCAGCCGCAGUAACAC